UAAACUAGGAUUAGAUACCCUAUUAUUUUAGAGCUUAACAUUGUUAGUAAAUAAAAAUUAUGAAAGCAAAAAAUUAUGGCGGUAUUUUAAGCUUUUCAGAGGAAUUUGCUCUUUAAUGGAUAAAACACCUAAAUCUUACUUAAAUUUGUUAAUCCAAUUUGUAUACCACUAUAAAAACAAUUAAUAACUUUAAUUGUUAAAAUUUACUAAAUUAAAUUAUAUUAAGUCAAGGUGCAGUAAAAAUUUAAGAAUGAAGUGAAUUACAUUACUUUUUAGAGAGAGAAAAAUUAAAUUUAUAUUUAGGAUUUGAAAGUAAAAUUGAAAUAGAAUGCCAAUUUGAAUUAAGCUCUAAAAUAUGUACAUAUCGCCCGUCACUCUUUAUUAAGAUAAGUC
rnacentral:rRNA from 1 species